UACGGAGGGUGCGAACGUUAAUCGGAAUUACUGGGCGUAAAGCGCGCGUAGGCGGUUCGGUAAGUGGGAUGUGAAAGCCCUGGGCCUCAACCUGGGAACUGCACUCCAAACUGCCGAGCUAGAGUGUGGUAGAGGGAGGUAGAAUUUCCUGUGUAGCGGUGAAAUGCGUAGAUAUAGGAAGGAAUACCAGUGGCGAAGGCGGCCUCCUGGAUCAACACUGACGCUGAGGUGCGAAAGCGUGGGGAGCAAACGGG
rnacentral:rRNA from 1 species